GACAGGGGAUUGGCUGCACAGGCUCCUCUCAUAGAAACGGAAAAGGUGGAGGGCGGGGCCAACGCUGCCUUGCAAUGGUGGCGAAGGAAAGGAUCAGAGUCCUGACACGCAUGCGUCCUCCGGCCGUCAGGGUUUAUUUUUAUUUUUUUUCCCCCACAUCCCUUUCACUCGGCGCCAUUUUGUGCGAUCUUCAGUCACGUCUUGGUCCCAUUUCGUUGAGAGGGCUGGAGAAGAAGGGAAGCAGUAGAGCGGCCGUGGCAGAGGCGCUCCCUGGGCCUGAGCUGCAUUUUCAUUCAUAGAAAUUUAAUCCAAUGAGGCUUCAGACUGACACAUUCAGCAUGGCAGUGACAAAUACAGUUGGAGCACCUCGUAAAGUAGCUUGUGGCACCAAAUGGCAUGCAGAGGAGGAGGAUGUUGCAGUUGCAAAGCCUGGCUAUCUAAUUCGAGAGGAAGAGAAUCCACACUGAAGGAAGGAUGAGCAGGACACAGCUGAGUGAGGGCUGCUGUAUUUAAAACAUGUUGACGACUGUCUAUGACAACUGAGAUGGUGCUCUUUACUUAAGCUUGCUUACAGUCCUGUUCUGGAGCGUUUGGAAAUCAGUGCUUUGUUUACUUACCAAGCUAACUGGAAAGAAUUGUGGCUGUGAAUUUAUACAUCUCUGCAGAAAAUCCUUACCAAGGCUUUGGAACAGUGUGUGUGAGCUUGUGUGUAUGACCAGCACAAUGACAAAACAUCAGCCAUAUAUCACUUGUGGGAUUCAGUACAGGUGUGUUGAUUAUCAUAAGUGGCUCUUACUGAGUUGUUUUUGUGAGAUACUUCUUCAGCAGAGAAGAAUCUCCAUUGUAUCCAAGUUCAGAAAAUGUAUCAAGAUCAGCAAGAUUAAUUCUGUAUACACUGGUGCUUUAUGGAAUAAAGUUUGUUCU